UACGGAGGGAGCGAACGUUGUUCGGAUUCACUGGGCGUAAAGGGCGUGCAGGCGGUCCGGCAAGUCAGGGGUGAAAUGCCACGGCUCAACCGUGGAAUUGCCUUUGAAACUGCCGGACUUGAGGCCGUGAGAGGAGACUGGAAUUCCCAGUGUAGCGGUGAAAUGCAUAGAUAUUGGGAAGAACACCAGUGGCGAAGGCGAGUCUCUGGCACGGUUCUGACGCUGAGGCGCGAAAGCUAGGGGAGCAAACGGG
rnacentral:rRNA from 1 species